GUUGUAUGGUUAAGUGACUAAGCGUACACGGUGGAUGCCUUGGCAGUUGGAGGCGAUGAAGGACGUACUAACUUGCGAUAAGCCUAGUUGAGCUAGUAAGAAGCACUUGAGACUAGGAUUUCCGAAUGGGGAAACCCAGUGGAUUUAUCCACUAUCUUUAACUGAAUACAUAGGUUAAAGAGGCGAACGAGGGGAACUGAAACAUCUAAGUACCCUUAGGAAAAGAAAUCAACCGAGAUUCCGUAAGUAGCGGCGAGCGAACGCGGAUUAGCCCUUAAGUUUGAUAAGAUGCAGUGGAACACUCUGGAAAGUGUGGCGAUAGAGGGUGACAGCCCCGUACACGAAGUGUGUUAUCAAAUGAAAUCGAGUAGGUCGGGACACGUGUUAUCUUGACUGAAUAUGGGGGGACCAUCCUCCAAGGCUAAAUACUCCCAACUGACCGAUAGUGAACCAGUACCGUGAGGGAAAGGCGAAAAGAACCCCUGUGAGGGGAGUGAAAUAGAACCUGAAACCGUGUACGUACAAGCAGUAGGAGCACCUUCGUGGUGUGACUGCGUACCUUUUGUAUAAUGGGUCAGCGACUUACAUUUUGUGGCGAGGUUAACCGAAUAGGGUAGCCGUAGGGAAACCGAGUCUUAACUGGGCGUCCAGUCGCAAGGUGUAGACCCGAAACCGGGCGAUCUAGCCAUGGGCAGGUUGAAGGUUGAGUAACAUCAACUGGAGGACCGAACUCACUAAUGUUGAAAAAUUAGGAGAUGACCUGUGGCUCGGAGUGAAAGGCUAAUCAAGCCCGGAGAUAGCUGGUUCUCCCCGAAAUCUAUUUAGGUAGAGCCUUGGACGAAUACCAUUGGGGGUAGAGCACUGUUUGGGCUAGGGGGUCAUCCCGACUUACCAACCCCAUGCAAACUCCGAAUACCAAUGAGUACUAUCCAGGAGACACACGGCGGGUGCUAACGUUCGUCGUGGAGAGGGAAACAACCCAGACCGCCAGCUAAGGUCCCCAAGUUAUGGUUCAGUGGGAAACGAUGUGGGAAGGCAUAGACAGCUAGGAGGUUGGCUUAGAAGCAGCCAUCCUUUAAAGAAAGCGUAAUAGCUCACUAGUCGAGUCGGCCUGCGCGGAAGAUGUAACGGGGCUAAACCAUACACCGAAGCUGCGGCAGUAGUUUUACUACUGGGUAGGGGAGCGUUGUGUAAGCUGUUGAAGGUGUGUCGAGAGGCAUGCUGGAGGUAUCACAAGUGCGAAUGCUGACAUGAGUAACGAUAAUGGGGGUGAAAAACCCCCACGCCGGAAGACCAAGGGUUCCUAUCCCAUGCUAAUCAGGGUAGGGUAAGUCGGCCCCUAAGGCGAGGCUGAAAAGCGUAGUCGAUGGGAAACGGGUUAAUAUUCCCGUACCGAUGUAUAUUGCGAUGGGGAGACGGAGAAGGCUAGGUAAGCGCGGCGUUGGUUGUCCGCGUGAAAGUGAGUAGGUUGAGAGUUUAGGCAAAUCCGGACUCUUAAGACUGAGACACGAGACGAGACUCUACGGAGUCGAAGUUAUUGAUGCCCUGCUUCCAGGAAAAUCCUCUAAGCUUCAGAUAUGCACGACCGUACCCGAAACCGACACAGGUGGUCAGGUAGAGAAUACUAAGGCGCUUGAGAGAACUCGGGUGAAGGAACUAGGCAAAAUAGUACCGUAACUUCGGGAGAAGGUACGCCGCUGUUGGUGAUGAGCUUUACGCUCUAAGCUGAUAGCGGUCGCAGUGACCAGGUGGCUGGGACUGUUUAUUAAAAACACAGCACUCUGCAAACUCGAAAGAGGACGUAUAGGGUGUGACACCUGCCCGGUGCCGGAAGGUUAAUUGAUGGGGUUAGCGUAAGCGAAGCUCUUGAUCGAAGCCCCGGUAAACGGCGGCCGUAACUAUAACGGUCCUAAGGUAGCGAAAUUCCUUGUCGGGUAAGUUCCGACCUGCACGAAUGGUGUAACCAUGGCCACGCUGUCUCCACCCGAGACUCAGUGAAAUUGAAAUCGCUGUGAAGAUGCAGUGUACCCGCGGCUAGACGGAAAGACCCCGUGAACCUUUACUACAGCUUGGCACUGAACAUUGAACCUACAUGUGUAGGAUAGGUGGGAGGCUUUGAAGCAUUGUCGCUAGAUGAUGUGGAGCCGCCCUUGAAAUACCACCCUUGUAUGUUUGAUGUUCUAACUUAGUCCCCUUAUCGGGGAUGAGGACAGUGUCUGGUGGGUAGUUUGACUGGGGCGGUCUCCUCCCAAAGAGUAACGGAGGAGCACGAAGGUUGGCUAAGUACGGUCGGACAUCGUACGGUUAGUGCAAAGGCAUAAGCCAGCUUAACUGCGAGACAGACACGUCGAGCAGGUGCGAAAGCAGGUCUUAGUGAUCCGGUGGUUCUGAAUGGAAGGGCCAUCGCUCAACGGAUAAAAGGUACUCCGGGGAUAACAGGCUGAUACCGCCCAAGAGUUCAUAUCGACGGCGGUGUUUGGCACCUCGAUGUCGGCUCAUCACAUCCUGGGGCUGAAGUCGGUCCCAAGGGUAUGGCUGUUCGCCAUUUAAAGUGGUACGCGAGCUGGGUUUAGAACGUCGUGAGACAGUUCGGUCCCUAUCUGCCGUGGGCGUUUGAGAAUUGAGAGGGGUUGCUCCUAGUACGAGAGGACCGGAGUGAACGAACCGCUGGUGUUCGGGUUGUCAUGCCAAUGGCACUGCCCGGUAGCUACGUUCGGAAUCGAUAACCGCUGAAAGCAUCUAAGCGGGAAGCGAGCCUCGAGAUGAGUUCUCACAGGACUUUAAGUCCCUGAAGGGUUGUUUAAGACUAAGACGUUGAUAGGCAGGGUGUGGAAGCGCUGUAAGGCGUUGAGCUAACCUGUACUAAUUGCCCGUGCGGCUUAACCAUACAACACCGAAGCGGU
rnacentral:rRNA from 1 species